GGGCAUGCGCAGAAGUCGCCCGCGGGGGGCGGGUGUGGGCGGCUUUGGGAGUCCCCUGCCGGAAGGGCUGGUGACCGAGGGGCAUGUCGGCCCAGGGCGACUGUGAGUUCCUGGUGCAGCGAGCCCGGGAGCUCGUGCCCCAGGACCUGUGGGCAGCCAAGGCAUGGCUUAUCACGGCCCGCAGCCUCUACCCGGCCGACUUCAACAUCCAGUAUGAGAUGUACACUAUUGAACGGAAUGCAGAGAGGACUGCCACUGCGGGAAGGCUGCUGUAUGACAUGUUUGUGAAUUUCCCAGACCAGCCGGUGGUGUGGAGAGAAAUCAGUAUCAUAACAUCAGCACUGAGGAAUGAUUCACAGGAUAAGCAAACCCAAUUUUUAAGGAGCUUAUUUGAAACUCUUCCGGGUCGGGUCCAGUGUGAAAUGUUACUGAAGGUGACGGAACAAUGCUUCAACACGUUGGAACGAUCAGAGAUGUUGCUGUUGCUUCUGAGGCGCUUCCCUGAGACAGUGGUGCAACAUGGGGUUGGCCUUGGGGAGGCACUGCUAGAAGCUGAGACCAUUGAAGAACAGGAGUCUCCAGUUAACUGCUUUCGAAAGCUAUUUGUUUGUGAUGUCCUUCCUCUAAUAAUUAACAACCAUGAUGUUCGAUUGCCUGCCAACUUACUAUAUAAAUACUUGAACAAAGCAGCUGAAUUUUACAUCAACUAUGUCACUCGGUCCACACAGUUGGAAAACCAGCAUCAAGGUGCACAAGAUACAUCUGAUUUAAUGUCGCCCAGCAAACGUAGCUCUCAGAAGUACAUAAUAGAAGGACUGACUGAGAGAUCAUCCCAGAUUGUGGACCCUUGGGAGAGGUUGUUUAAGACUCUGAAUGUGGUCGGAACAAGAUGCGAAUGGCAGAUGGAUAAAGGGAGACGAAGCUGUAGUGACAUACUGCACCGGAUGAAGGAGCUCAGCAGGUACAUGACUAGCUUCGACAGCGAAGCUCACGCCAACUAUAAGAACCAAGUGCUCUACUCGACGAUGCUGGUCUUCUUCAGGAGUGCCUUCCAGUACAUCAGCAGCAUACAGCCAUCUCUCUUCCAAGGUCCUAACGCCCCAAGCCAGGUUCCGCUAGUUCUUCUGGAAGAUGUAGCCAAUGUGUAUGGUGAUGUAGAAAUUGAUCGCAGUAAACACAUACACAAGAAGAGGAAGCUAGCUGAGGGAAGAGAAAAAACCAUGCAGAGUUCAGAUGAUGAAGAAUGUUCAGCAAAAGGAAGAAACCGGCACAUUCUUGUCAGUAAAGCUGAGCUCAGCAACUCCAUCGAGGUACUGGAGAGCUUCAAACUGGCCAGGGAGAGCUGGGAGUUGCUCUAUUCCCUGGAAUUCCUUGACAAAGAAUUUACAAGAAUUUGUUUGGCUUGGAAGACGGACACAUGGCUGUGGCUAAGAAUCUUCCUCACAGAUAUGAUCAUCUACCAGGGUCAAUAUAAGAAGGCAAUAGCCAGUCUGCAUCACUUAGCAGCUCUCCAAGGAUCCCUUUCUCAGCCACAGAUCACUGGACAGGGGACUUUAGAACACCAGAGGGCGCUCAUCCAGCUGGCAACCUGUCACUUUGCACUGGGCGAGUAUAGAAUGACAUGUGAGAAGGUUCUGGACCUGAUGUGCUACAUGGUGCUACCCAUACAAGAUGGAGGGAAAUCGCAGGAAGAGUCCUCCAAAGUGAAACCCAAGUUUAGGAAAGGUUUGGAUCUGAAGCUUCUGCCCUGUACCAGUAAGGCUAUUAUGCCGUACUGCCUGCACUUGAUGCUGGCAUGCUUUAAGCUGAGAGCUUUUACAGACAACAGAGAUGACAUGGCGCUGGGCCAUGUGAUUGUACUGCUGCAGCAGGAGUGGCCACGGGGAGAGAACCUUUUCCUGAAAGCCAUCAGUAAGAUUUGCCAGCAAGGAAAUUUCCAGUAUGAGAACUUCUUCAGCUAUGUUACAAACAUUGAUAUGCUGGAGGAAUUUGCUUAUUUAAGAACCCAGGAAGGAGGGAAGAUUCACCUGGAAUUACUCCCGAAUCAAGGAAUGCUGAUCAAGCAUUGCAGACCUUUUGGGUGGUCCCUCCAGAUGAGUGGCAGAGAUGUUGUGAGCAGUGUACCUCUCCUCCCCUUGGGGCCUUCUAGCCCUCCCAUGGGGUUACUGCAGCAGGAAUUCUUACCUGUGCUUCAGCCCAGCAUACAGACUGCUGACAGGCACCACACAGUCACUCGCGGCAUCACCAAAGGCGUGAAGGAGGACUUCCGCCUGGCCAUGGAGCGCCAGGUCUCCCGCUGUGGUGAGAACCUGAUGGUGGUCCUGCAUCGCUUCUGCAUUAAUGAGAAGAUCUUGCUCCUUCAGAGCCUGACUUGAUAGACCUUUGGGUGCCCUCAGCUCAGCUGUGUGACCGAAGACACAGCUGUGACACGUGCUGCCUGGCCAGGACUGAUGAAGAAGGAAAACACCAAGUUCCACCUCCCUGGGUUGCUUAGAAGUCCAUCUCAGGCGUGUGGGAAGUUAGUUCUAUUUUUAGGAGUUCAGGUUUUUUAAUUUGUAUAAAAGAAAAAUCAAUCCAUUUUGUAAAUAAAAAUCCUAAAAUUUGAAGUUUAAAAAAAAAAAACUGUUCUAGUUUCAAGUAGGGUACAUUUGUCUUCUAUUUUUCUAAGCAUACAGCAAGGGGGCAGAAAUCCAAUACAACUGAAUGGAGGAAUGCAUUUUAUUGUAUACACGACGGACUGUGUCUCCCAUGACCUCAGAUGUGGUUUCAUUGCUACACUUGGGCAUGGUGGUGCAUACAAUUGAUCCCAGCACACUCUGAAGACAGAAGCUGUGAGUUCAAGACCAGCCUGGUUUGUAUAACAAGGUGCCAGAUCAGCCAAGACUACAGAGUGAAAUCCUCAAAACAAACAAAAAAGUUUUCAGUUAUAUUUGUUUAUGUGUGUGGGUGUACACAUGCCACUGCAAACAUGGGGGGUGUCAGUGGACAGCUUGCUGCGUCAGUGUCUCUCCUUUCACCACGUGGGUCCCCCUGGGGAUUAAACUCUAGCUGGCAGGCUCGGGGGCAGGGGCUCUCGCUGCUGAGCCUCCUCAGUCCAAAAUACAUUUCUAACUGGCCUUUCUAAAACUUUAGCCUCCUUCUUGAAUGAAUAAUUGGAUCCUCGUUCAUGAACUAGAUAAUGAAGUUCUUAUUUUACUUCCAAGAAGUCUGUGUAUAUAGUUGAAACCAAAGACCAAAAUUGCAGACUUUGGAACAGUUAGGAGAUAAGCAGCAUCAGAAAACAAAACACCUCCCCACCGCUGCCACCACCAAUUAACCCUAAGAACUCGCUAAUAAAACUGAAGAAAAUGGGAGCUCUUCUUGGCGAGCCCUGUGCCUUCCUGUCCGCCUUACUCUUGGAGCGUUUCUCUCUGACUCAUGCUCAAGUCUUUAUUACAAUUAUUAAUGAAAUCCCAACUCUACCAUGUGAGAAAAAAGGGGAAGAGGUUAGA